rnacentral:rRNA from 1 species
CGUAGGUGGCAAGCGUUGUCCGGAUUUACUGGGCGUAAAGAGCGCGCAGGCGGUCGUUCAAGUCGCGUGUGAAAGCCCCCGGCUCAACUGGGGAGGGUCACGCGAUACUGAUCGACUCGAAGGCAGGAGAGGGUAGUGGAAUUCCCGGUGUAGUGGUGAAAUGCGUAGAUAUCGGGAGGAACACCAGUGGCGAAGGCGACUACCUGGCCUGUUCUUGACGCUGAGGCGCGAAAGCUAGGGGAGCAAACGGGAUUAGAUACCCCGGUAGUCCUAGCCGUAAACGAUGGACACUAGGUGUUGGUGGUAUCAACCCGCCAGUGCCGAAGCUAACGCAUUAAGUGUCCCGCCUGGGGAGUACGGCCGCAAGGCUA